AUGAAAAGAACUUUGAAAAGAGAGUCAAAAGACCUGAAACUGUUGAGAAGGAAGCGGUAGAAGUGAAUAA
rnacentral:rRNA from 1 species